rnacentral:rRNA from 1 species
GAUGAACGCUGGCGGCGUGCCUAAUACAUGCAAGUCGAGCGAACGGACGGGAAGCUUGCUUUUCUGAUGUUAGCGGCGGACGGGUGAGUAACACGUGGAUAACCUACCUAUAAGACUGGGAUAACUUCGGGAAACCGGAGCUAAUACCGGAUAAUAUUUUGAACCGCAUGGUUCAAAAGUGAAAGACGGUCUUGCUGUCACUUAUAGAUGGAUCCGCGCUGCAUUAGCUAGUUGGUAAGGUAACGGCUUACCAAGGCAACGAUGCAUAGCCGACCUGAGAGGGUGAUCGGCCACACUGGAACUGAGACACGGUCCAGACUCCUACGGGAGGCAGCAGUAGGGAAUCUUCCGCAAUGGGCGAAGGCCUGACGGAGCAACGCCGCGUGAGUGAUGAAGGUCUUCGGAUCGUAAAACUCUGUUAUUAGGGAAGAACAUAUGUGUAAGUAACUGUGCACAUCUUGACGGUACCUAAUCAGAAAGCCACGGCUAACUACGUG